rnacentral:lncRNA from 1 species
GUACACCAGAAGUAGUGCCCUUCCUCUCGAAGGUUGGGGAGAAAGACAUGUGUGUGUAACUCUUAUCAACCCAGAACUCAAGUGGUCCAGUUUUGGGUCCAUGUUAUGGUUACUAACGCACAAAAUAAAUUUGGAAAAGAACAUACAAAUCUUUUCUUGUAUUUUUCUUGAAAAUCAUGAAGGAGGUCUAUAAUUUGCAAUAACGAAUUCAAAAGUCCUUUUCAUCUUCAUUCUACCUCCUUCACAGCCUCUGCUGUUGUCUGCUGUAUUGCUCUCCAGAAUUUUCUCAGAUUGCAGAAAUCUCCCUCCUCCCGUCUAUUUAUUUUUAUCACGUAAAUCAACUUAGCCUCUCUUUCCAGCAAAAAGGUCCAAUCAAAUUCCCCAACCCUGUCCCAAAUGAAGGGUGCGGAACUGAGCUGGCAAUUACAGACUAUUCUUUGGCAGUAUUCUGGGAAAGGGAAAAGUAUGAAUUUUCUUGCCCUGUCCCUGGUAUUUUGUAAAGCUUUCCAAGUGACUUCGAUAUCUGGACCCUUUUGAGAACUGCCGCUGUUAACCAAGACAUAAAGCUUUUUCAUUUCUUGAAAGGUCCUAUUUCUUGGCAAAUUUCUCCCUGCAAAGUGCAUUCUUUUUUCUGCACUGACCCCAGAAACAGGUGCCAUUGUGUGGGAGACAGCACCUGUCAUCUGUCUCAACAAAGUCCACAAAGUGCCCUGCUAGGAGCAGAUAACCCAGAACAUCUACCUGAGUCUCCCAGUCAAGAUUCCUGGUCUGACUAGGAAUCUAACUUCAACAAGAUCUUCCUGAAAAAAGACGCUGAGCUUGGACGGUCCAACCACCUCCCUACCUGGGAUAAGCCGGAGGAUGCUUCUUGGCUUCCCCAAAGCUGUCUUGGUGGUGAUGCUGUGGCAACCACAGGGGAGAUUCACGAGGAGAAAGCCUGGAAGACCAGAGCCCUGGAAGUGGGGCAGCCAGCCCAGCGGGACAUUCGUAGGGGCGAGGUGUGAUCUCAGCCUUCAUUCAGCUGGCCUGGGAGUCCUCCAAGGGUCAGAGUCACACCUUACUAGUCUGACCCCUCAAGGUUCCUUAGGACUCCAGGUGUUUUAAGAAGAUUCUCUGAACCCCCACCCUUCCCACUUCACCCCUCAGCCCUCCCUGUGGUUAAGAACCCAAGUGUGAACAACCCCAAGUUUGGUGGUUAGUGAGGCCUUCAAGCACAAACCCUAAUCCUGCCCUUUUAAAAAAAAUAUUUUGGACUUAAGGGAGGCUGUCCUCAAUUGUUUCAAACCUAUUUCAGAGUACCUCCACUCCUUCAAACCUAUUUUCAAAACUCAGGAAAACGUCGCCUUUCCAGACGAACUCUAGUGACAGCUCCAUUCACCCCUUGGCAUUUGACUGCUAAAGAUCAGCUGACCCCUGCAGCCAGAAGGAGGAGAGAAAAUUGCUAAAUGGGGACCUCAUUUCCAGAGGUGAUCACCUUAAAAAAGUCUGGGGCCUUGUUUGCCAGCUUUGAAAUCUCAAAGGGUAAUCUUAGCUUCAUGUCCCCAGUGUGAAUAAAACAAACAAUAAAAACCACCUAUGAAAUCUAAAUUCAAACUUUCUUGCGACCUAUGCAUCAUUUUUUUGCAUUCACAUUCCCAGUCAAAACACAGACACACACACACACACACCCAACAGAUAUAUAACUGCAUGUAAAAUAUAUAUAGAUAAAACAAUGUCCUCUGAAGAAUAUAAAUGUUAACACAAGUAAAAUUAUCAUGAAUUCCAUAACUCCUUCUGUGGCCUUGGUCCACGUUAGGUUUUCCAUUAAGAGAUACUAUUGUCAUCAGUGAGUAGCUUCUCCUGUUGUAUUCUUCUGUGUAGCACGGGGCUGGAGCUGUGGAUAUUUAUGAACCCCAGGCACCCACUUCCUGUUUUCGUGGCUGUCCCCGGUCCCUGCCUCUGUGCCGUUUUCUCUGCCUUUGGCCACCAGAUGGCGCUCUGGAAACGAGUUUUCUGCAUCAAAGCUCCCCUGCAUUACUCUCAACUAGGCUCCCUCCCUCUUCUCUGUUCCCUUCCAAGCCAUUUUCCAGGGUGCAGCCAAAAGGCCUUUCUGGAGGGCACAUCUGUGUGAUCUUGGGCAAGUUACCUAACGCUGUGUGCUCAGCAUCUUCAAUGUGAUGGUAUGGCUGUGAGUGCGUCAUGAGAGGAUGUAGGUAAAGCACUUAGGACAAGGCCUGGCAUGUGGUCGCUGUUCUCAUUAUCCUGCGUAGAGCUUUUCAAAAGCACUCCACGACCUUCAGGACAAGGUCUAAAUUCUUAGCCAUGGGAACCCAGGCCACUGCAUCAUCUGAGGACCCCUGCUUAUGUCCCCUGCCCAACCUUCCUCCCUACACUACUGCACUGACCCUCUUGCAGCACAGCCAGGAGCCAGCCUGCCCACUUCGGGGCCUUUGCCCAUUUUGCCCCUGCCACCAGCUUUGCCUGUCUCCUGCCUAUUCAACUUCCUCGGGCUCACUCCUCCAGGUCCGUCAGGAUUCAGCGUGUGCCCUCCAUGAGGAGCCUCCCGGACCCCCAGGCCUGAUUCCAGAGCCAUUCUACUGGCCUCUCGCCUUUCAUUUUCCCUGCCCCCACCUGCGACUGUCAGCCCCUUGCCUUGUUCACUGUCAGGCACACAGGGGGACGAUUGCGGGGCGGAUAGUGAGACUGUCACGUGGGCUGCCAGCAGGGGGCAAUGGGCACCCUUGUGUCCCUGAGCUCCCAGGGGCUCCUAGUAGCUUAGGCAGCACCUUGCCCACACCAAGCUGAGGGAGACCUGAGAAAUGGGAUUCCUGCCAAAGAGGCAAAGAAAAAAGUGAAGGGACAAAUGCAAGGCCAUCUUUGCCAUUUGCGUAUGAGGCAUAAAACUUGGAAGAUAAUAAACAGCAAAAUCAUAGUCCUUAUGUGCUGAGUGCUUUCUCUGAGCCAGGCCCUGUGCUGAGUCCUUACCCCACCUUGUGAGAUCGAUGACAGCCCUCAGAGAAGGAAACAGAGGCUAGGAGAGGUUAAGUCCCUUGUGCAGUGUCUCAGAGCUUGUGAGUGGCCUGUCUGUCUCCAGGGCCAUGCUGUAGGAGGUGGCCCUGGAUUCAGGCCCCUUGCUAUGGUUUAAUGGGUUUCAGUGAAAUAGUUGGGAAACCUCAGGAGUGGGAUAUGGAGUUAAGGGAAAGAAAAGCCAGAGAGAAAGGGAAGGAGUGCAGGUGACUGUCCCUUAGCCACCCCAGUCCUGAUGACCACAGGCCUCCAUGCCAAUAAGCCCUGACUAGUGCCACUUGGGUCCAAACAUGGCAUCUCUGGCCCCAAGGGCUUAGUAGCAAACACCCAUCUAGGGAAGCUGGCGUUCAUUCUCAUCACCUCAAAUGCUUCAUGAGCCUCAGGGAUCAACCUUGAAGUGGGUAUAAGGCUGGGAGAAUGUUGGGGGCAGCAAACUGAAGGGCACAAUAAGAAGCAAUAAGGCCACCUCAAAGCCCACCCAAGCAAACUGCUCAUUCACCUCCUUCCUUCCUGAAUUUCACCUUAUGAGGAGGUGAGUGGAAGAUAGGGUAUCCCUUAAAACAUCUAAAAGGAGAGUUGGGGGCAGCAAAGGAGAUGUGCUUCACGGGACUCUUAUAAACAAAACUGGGGAGAGAAGAAUUGGAGGAAGGGGGAAAGACAUAGAUGAAAGGGAGGGGAAGGUGUGGGAGAGGGAAACGUAUAAAAGCUUCCAAGAGGAGUGGGAGGCUGGGGGUUCCCCAGACAGAGACUCAGUCUGGACCAGAUGCAGAGAACAAUGGACUUCAAGGCUGGAGGGGGGCAGAAGGGAAGCGGGAGGAGAGCCACACGGUCAAGUUGCACAGGUUCUUGCAGCUUCUGGAAUCAAGACCAUGGGCACCCUCAUAAGUCAGUGUGGGCAGGGACUGCCCCAGGGCCAAUCCAAGAUCCAGAGGUAGCCAUAGGGUGUGACAAGUUGUGCAGAUUACAACACUCACCCCUUGCAAUAACGUCACUGCCUGUGACUCGGGGCCAGGCCCAGGCCAAAGCCCUUCCUACAUCAUUUCGUUUAAUCCUCACAGUUUCCUGCUGAAAGGGCUACUAUUCUUACUCCCAUCCCCACUCUACAGAUGAGGUAAUGGAGGCCCAGGAAAGUUAAGUGACUUGUCCCAGAUGACACCGCUGGUAAGUUGCAAAGUCAGAAUUUGAACUCAGGCAGUUUACCUCUGAUGGCUGCUCUGUUAAUCACAGCUGCUUUCCAGUGAGACAAAAACGGGUGAUCAGGGCAGAGUCAAGACAGAGAGGUAAACAAGAUUGGGAAAAAGACAGGAAUGAGAGGGGAACAAUGGGGGAAAAGAUAGGAACAAAGAGAGUUGGGGAAGGGGAGAGAAACAGGAAACAUGACUUGCCCGGGAGGGGCAUCAGUCCACGUGCAAGCAGGUGGAGGCUCAAGUUUUCUGCUCACUUGGUGAUGCAGAGGCUCCCUUUCCCUCAGCAGCCGCCUUGCUGCGUGGACAGCAGCUUCCCAUCUGGCCUGUCCCCGGAGCCCCGGCCUCAUCCUCCUCAGCGGCAGGCCACUUAGCUUCACAGGAAAUGCUCUUUCUCUAAUUGGCAUUGAAACUCACAGCCCUCCCUUUUCCUGUAGGUGGGGUUUCCAUAGGAAAAAGCUGCUUCUCUGUUUCCCCAGCCUAGCAACUGUUUGGCAGUCAGAGUCCCACAUCCUGCUCAACUGGGUCAGGUCCCUCUUAGACCAGCUCUUGUCCAUCAUUUGCUGAAGUGGACCAACUAGUUCCCCAGUAGGGGGUCUCCCCUGGCAAUUCUUGAUCGGCGUUUGGACAUCUCAGAUCGCUUCCAAUGAAGAUGGCCUUGCCUUGGGGUCCUGCUUGUUUCAUAAUCAUCUAACUAUGGGACAAGGUUGUGCCGGCAGCUCUGGGGGAAGGAGCACGGGGCUGAUCAAGCCAUCCAGGAAACACUGGAGGACUUGUCCAGCCUUGAAAGAACUCUAGUGGUUUCUGAAUCUAGCCCACUUGGCGGUAAGCAUGAUGCAACUUCUGCAACUUCUGCUGGGGCUUUUGGGGCCAGGUGGCUACUUAUUUCUUUUAGGGGAUUGUCAGGAGGUGACCACUCUCACGGUGAAAUACCAAGUGUCAGAGGAAGUGCCAUCUGGUACAGUGAUCGGGAAGCUGUCCCAGGAACUGGGCCGGGAGGAGAGGCGGAGGCAAGCUGGGGCUGCCUUCCAGGUGUUGCAGCUGCCUCAGGCGCUCCCCAUUCAGGUGGACUCUGAGGAAGGCUUGCUCAGCACAGGCAGGCGGCUGGAUCGAGAGCAGCUGUGCCGACAGUGGGAUCCCUGCCUGGUUUCCUUUGAUGUGCUUGCCACAGGGGAUUUGGCUCUGAUCCAUGUGGAGAUCCAAGUGCUGGACAUCAAUGACCACCAGCCACGGUUUCCCAAAGGCGAGCAGGAGCUGGAAAUCUCUGAGAGCGCCUCUCUGCGAACCCGGAUCCCCCUGGACAGAGCUCUUGACCCAGACACAGGCCCUAACACCCUGCACACCUACACUCUGUCUCCCAGUGAGCACUUUGCCUUGGAUGUCAUUGUGGGCCCUGAUGAGACCAAACAUGCAGAACUCAUAGUGGUGAAGGAGCUGGACAGGGAAAUCCAUUCAUUUUUUGAUCUGGUGUUAACUGCCUAUGACAAUGGGAACCCCCCCAAGUCAGGUACCAGCUUGGUCAAGGUCAACGUCUUGGACUCCAAUGACAAUAGCCCUGCGUUUGCUGAGAGUUCACUGGCACUGGAAAUCCAAGAAGAUGCUGCACCUGGUACGCUUCUCAUAAAACUGACCGCCACAGACCCUGACCAAGGCCCCAAUGGGGAGGUGGAGUUCUUCCUCAGUAAGCACAUGCCUCCAGAGGUGCUGGACACCUUCAGUAUUGAUGCCAAGACAGGCCAGGUCAUUCUGCGUCGACCUCUAGACUAUGAAAAGAACCCUGCCUACGAGGUGGAUGUUCAGGCAAGGGACCUGGGUCCCAAUCCUAUCCCAGCCCAUUGCAAAGUUCUCAUCAAGGUUCUGGAUGUCAAUGACAACAUCCCAAGCAUCCACGUCACAUGGGCCUCCCAGCCAUCACUGGUGUCAGAAGCUCUUCCCAAGGACAGUUUUAUUGCUCUUGUCAUGGCAGAUGACUUGGAUUCAGGACACAAUGGUUUGGUCCACUGCUGGCUGAGCCAAGAGCUGGGCCACUUCAGGCUGAAAAGAACUAAUGGCAACACAUACAUGUUGCUAACCAAUGCCACACUGGACAGAGAGCAGUGGCCCAAAUAUACCCUCACUCUGUUAGCCCAAGACCAAGGACUCCAGCCCUUAUCAGCCAAGAAACAGCUCAGCAUUCAGAUCAGUGACAUCAACGACAAUGCACCUGUGUUUGAGAAAAGCAGGUAUGAAGUCUCCACGCGGGAAAACAACUUACCCUCUCUUCACCUCAUUACCAUCAAGGCUCAUGAUGCAGACUUGGGCAUUAAUGGAAAAGUCUCAUACCGCAUCCAGGACUCCCCAGUUGCUCACUUAGUAGCUAUUGACUCCAACACAGGAGAGGUCACUGCUCAGAGGUCACUGAACUAUGAAGAGAUGGCCGGCUUUGAGUUCCAGGUGAUCGCAGAGGACAGCGGGCAACCCAUGCUUGCAUCCAGUGUCUCUGUGUGGGUCAGCCUCUUGGAUGCCAAUGAUAAUGCCCCAGAGGUGGUCCAGCCUGUGCUCAGCGAUGGAAAAGCCAGCCUCUCCGUGCUUGUGAAUGCCUCCACAGGCCACCUGCUGGUGCCCAUCGAGACUCCCAAUGGCUUGGGCCCAGCGGGCACUGACACACCUCCACUGGCCACUCACAGCUCCCGGCCAUUCCUUUUGACAACCAUUGUGGCAAGAGAUGCAGACUCGGGGGCAAAUGGAGAGCCCCUCUACAGCAUCCGCAGUGGAAAUGAAGCCCACCUCUUCAUCCUCAACCCUCAUACGGGGCAGCUGUUCGUCAAUGUCACCAAUGCCAGCAGCCUCAUUGGGAGUGAGUGGGAGCUGGAGAUAGUAGUAGAGGACCAGGGAAGCCCCCCCUUACAGACCCGAGCCCUGUUGAGGGUCAUGUUUGUCACCAGUGUGGACCACCUGAGGGACUCAGCCCGCAAGCCUGGGGCCUUGAGCAUGUCGAUGCUGACGGUGAUCUGCCUGGCUGUACUGUUGGGCAUCUUCGGGUUGAUCCUGGCUUUGUUCAUGUCCAUCUGCCGGACAGAAAAGAAGGACAACAGGGCCUACAACUGUCGGGAGGCCGAGUCCACCUACCGCCAGCAGCCCAAGAGGCCCCAGAAACACAUUCAGAAGGCAGACAUCCACCUCGUGCCUGUGCUCAGGGGUCAGGCAGGUGAGCCUUGUGAAGUCGGGCAGUCCCACAAAGAUGUGGACAAGGAGGCGAUGAUGGAAGCAGGCUGGGACCCCUGCCUGCAGGCCCCCUUCCACCUCACCCCGACCCUGUACAGGACGCUGCGUAAUCAAGGCAACCAGGGAGCACCGGCGGAGAGCCGAGAGGUGCUGCAAGACACGGUCAACCUCCUUUUCAACCAUCCCAGGCAGAGGAAUGCCUCCCGGGAGAACCUGAACCUUCCCGAGCCCCAGCCUGCCACAGGCCAGCCACGUUCCAGGCCUCUGAAGGUUGCAGGCAGCCCCACAGGGAGGCUGGCUGGAGACCAGGGCAGUGAGGAAGCCCCACAGAGGCCACCAGCCUCCUCUGCAACCCUGAGACGGCAGCGACAUCUCAAUGGCAAAGUGUCCCCUGAGAAAGAAUCAGGGCCCCGUCAGAUCCUGCGGAGCCUGGUCCGGCUGUCUGUGGCUGCCUUCGCCGAGCGGAACCCCGUGGAGGAGCUCACUGUGGAUUCUCCUCCUGUUCAGGUACCUGGGGCAUGGGCAGCUCUUUCUCUGGUCACUCCUGGACCACCAGAAACAGAAUCAGACACCCCCAUAACCUGCACAGUCCUCAUGUUUCUUCCUUAGGCUCACCUGGCACUUUCUGAUGCUUUGGGUAGCAAUGGUUCAGGGCACAGCUUUGUGAUCGGCUGAACUUAGCUGUGUGAUCCUAGGCAAAUUCCUUACUGUCUCUGGGCCUUAGUUGUCUUAUCUGUAAAUUAGAGAUGAUAGUAAGAGUAUCUACCUUGUAGAGUUGUCCAGAGGAUUUGAUCAAUUAAUUCCUAUAAGGCAUUUAUGGUGCCUCACAAGUAGACACACAGCAAAGGUAGUGAUUAAGAGUAUAAGCUUUGGGCAAGGUUACCUGGGUUCAAAUCCUGGCUCCACUUCUUCCUAGCUCUGAACCACAGAGGAAGUUAACAUCUCUGUUGAAGAUGUCUAUGUUAACACCACCCAUCUUCUAAGUUUGCUUGAAAAUAAAAUGAGUGAAUGCUCUUAAUGCCUGUAGAACAGUGUCCAUCUGACAUGUAGUCAGUACUCAGCAAAUUAUUACUAUUACUUCCUCAAAGCACUUCUCCAUCUCCACUAUUUGCCUGCCUUCAUCUCAUCUGGGCAACUUCCCUAUGAAGAAGGCCAGCAUAGGCAUCAUUGCACCCAAACCCAGGUGUUGCAAAUAAUUUGUCUGAGACCCCAGAGCUUUCCGGCUGGGCCUGCGGAUGGGGCAGUGGAAAUUACCUUAGAACUUAGCAGUUAGGCAGAUUGGAGUUCAGAUUUCAACACAGCCACUUAGGAGCUGGGCAACCUUGUACACGUCCUUCAACAUCUGAGCCUCAUUUUCCUCAUCUAUAAAAUGGGGAUUAUGAGACCAAACUUACCCUGUGUCUGCCUCCUUAGAGUGUGAGGGCUAAAUGGGAUGAUGAGUGUCAAAAUGUCUAAGGACCUGGGAUUUUCUAGACACAAGUGGGGAAACCUUUCCAGGGAUGAUGCCUGAUCUCACACCCAUAUCUGCUUCUGUGAACCUCAGAUAUUUUCACUGUGCCAGGCUGCCCGCCCAAGGCACACUUCUGUUUGGCCAGGCUAUCAGCUCAGGUUUCCUGUGAAGCAAAACACAGUUUCCUUCCCUAUUCCCUCCUCAGGAAGCCACCUGGAGAUGGCCCAGCUGUUCUCUUAGGAAUCUUGCCCUGGGAUCGGUGCAGACCCAGAGGCUGCCAGAGCCAACCAUUCAUUUAUCCUUCCAUUCAUCCAUCCAUUUAUCAGGUGCUUUUUGGAUAAACUCUGUGCUGAACACUGUGCUGGCUGCUGGUAGACAGGACAACAGAGAAUAGGCCCUGUGGGUGACCCCGCUGAGGUGACAGAAAGAAAGGUGCCCAUUUGGGAUCAACUUGAGGGUAACAGGCAACUUGCCCAAUGCUCAUAUCUUUCCAGCAGCACAUAGAGUCAGAUCUGAGUGUAAAUUCCAGCCCUCCCACUAAUUUCUGUGUAGCCCCUGUGAGCCUCCAAUUCCACCUCUGCAAAAUGGCCAUAAUGGUAUCUCUUCCCUUAGGCUGUUGUAAGAAUUAAAUGAGAUUAUACACCACUGGACAAUCACUGUUUAUCAUGGGAUUUAUUAAUAAGCUCAUUUAAACCUCGUAACCCACCAUAUGACCUGGGUCUCAUUAAUAUGCACUUUUUUUACUGUUGAGGAAACUGAGUAAUUUUCUCAGAAUGCUUAAGUAAUUCCUCAAGGCCACACUGAUGGGAACUGGGGCAGGGACAUAUUUAGGAUUUGAACCUGAGUCUGACUGAUUCGAGUCUGGGCUGUAACUGUGAAGUGACCCUGAAUGACAGUGCUCAGCAUAGGGCUUGGCAUGUAGGGAGUCAUGUCAUGAAAAGGCAGCUGUCACUUGAGCAAAGGGUGGCAGGUAUCUUAGGAGGGCUUCUGGGCCUGGGCUGGGAGGUGGGAUCUUCCCUGAGGCAGGCAAUAAGACCCCGAGUCUCCCAAGUCACAGUGAAACCCCAGUCCUGGCCAUCUCCUCUUCCAACUCUCCUCUGAGGUUGACACUUCCUACCUCAAGCUGCACAGAGGGGCAUGGUGGACCUCCUAAGGGAGGAAUGGGGAUGGACCCAGGAGGAGGAAGCAGUGUUUCUAGGAAUAACAGUGCAAACUCCUUGCUUUUGCAGAGGAUUUUUAACUUUUUCAAACCAUUUAAUCGUGACAACACUGAGAAGAAGGCGUGUGGGUAUUUCUAGCCCCCUAUUAGAGAUGAGGAAACUGAGGUCUGAGGAGGUCUAAAAACCUGUCUAAUGCUAUACAAUAAGCUACAAAUGGCCUUGAACUAGAACUCCGCCUCCCAGGACUUGAUCUGUUGCCUCUCCCUUCCAAUGGCCUAUAGGGUCUGGCCGUGAUAUCUCACCCAUCCCCUACUCCAUUCUCCAGUCUUUCUGAAACUCUACCUUCUCUUCCAGCCUUUCAGUGUGCAGUGCUUCUGCCUGAAAACCUCCCCACCCCUUGCCCAGACCUUCAUUCUCUUUCCACUUGCCAAACUCCUAUGGAGCCUUUGGGUCUCAGCAGAGGUGCCUGGCAUGUGGUAUGAACUCAGUAACAUCUGUUGAAAUGAAUGAAUUAACUUAAUCCAGUACCACCCCCCUGCUUCCUCCCUGCUCCAAGUUGGGUUAGGGGCCCUCUGCUCCCACAGAGCCCCCAUUCUUUCCCUAUGCCCAGAGGCAACCCCUGUGGUAAACACUCUUCGCUGCCCUGAUCUCCAGCCAGCCUCCCUGUGGGGCUGCCUGCAACCUUCACAUCCUGACAGAUGUGACCACGCUGAGGGCAGCAGCUGGGGCUCCUUCUCCUUCUUACUCCCAUAGCAACCACCCUGCCUGGCACUUAUUAAGUACUUGUUGAAUGAAUGAAAAGAUGAAUAAAUGAAUAAUUCAAUGACACCAUUUUGCCUUCUCUACAACAUAGUCUUACAUCUGGUCAACAAAAAUUGGCCGAAUGUCCAAAUACUGCUAAAGGGGAACAUAACUCUUUAAGAUAAUCUUCAUCAAAGUAACAACAAAUUGAUGGUCAGGAAAUGCCUUUUUCACCCCAUCUCUCAGAGUCCACCAGGUGCAGGACACUCGGAGGAAUGAGUAUGAGGGGACAGGCCCAGAGGGUCCUCUUGCUCUCCUUCAGACACUCAGGUCCUGGGGUGACAUGACAGAGCAGGGGACCUGCCCGCCCAGGUCCCUGUCUCUGUCACUGGGCACCAUCCCCCAUCUGAUCACACAAACAUCUGAAGCCAGAGGAAAGACUAUAAAAAGAAAGCACCGGCAUUGAGGGAAACAUCCGGCGAGGAAGUGUGCUGAGUCGGAAUUGUGUGGAGUCAACAGAUUUUUCCUGUCUUGUAGCAAAUCUCCCAGCUGCUGUCCUUGCUGCAUCAGGGCCAAUUCCAGCCCAAACCAAACCACCGAGGAAAUAAGUACUUGGCCAAGCCAGGAGGCAGCAGGUAAGCAGCACGUAGCCCCCACAGGCAUCUCAAGGCCCCUACUGGCCGCCCCUCAUCACUGCAGCCUCUGUGAGUGAGGAAGGGUGAGCACAAGUCAGACACCGGUCCCCUGGGAGGGUGCAGCAGACAGCAUCCAUCCUCCCACCCUGGGAGUUUUGGUCGUGAGGUGACUGUAUUGAUAGUAUUUACAGGACCUAGAAGUCCUGUAGGACUAACUAGCUGUAUUGAUAAAUACCAUCAAUACAGUAGUCACCAAGGAAAUGACCUCAUCCCUGAGACUGUAUUUGUCCCAAUUACAGAGGUGCUGUAAAUUGCCUUUAUAUCUGUAACUGUCACCUCUCUUUCUCUUGACCCAUAAACAUAAUAUGAAGGCUCCCCACUAAAGACAUGGCUGUGUGGGCGUGUCCCUUUGGGCAAUCCUAGAAUUGAAGACACCUUAAGAGAACAUCAAAUCCAACUUCUUGUUACGGAUGGAGAAACUGAGGCUCUGAGUAGCUUGAUUCAAACCAGCUAUGUAAACUUGAGCAAGUGAGAUAAUCUCUCAGGACCUUGGUUUCCCCAUCUGUAAAACAGAACCCAUCCCAUUUCCCUUGUGGUAAUGGGGUGAGGAUUUCAUAAUCAAUUGUAUUCUAAGCCCAUAGCCCAGCAACUGACACAUAGUAGGUGCACACA